rnacentral:rRNA from 1 species
AUUGAACGCUGGCGGCAUGCCUUACACAUGCAAGUCGAACGGCAGCGGACCUUCGGGUGCCGGCGAGUGGCGAACGGGUGAGUAAUAUAUCGGAACGUACCUUUCAGUGGGGAGUAACGUAGCGAAAGUUACGCUAAUACCGCAUAUUCUGUGAGCAGGAAAGCAGGGGAUCGCAAGACCUUGCGCUGAUUGAGCGGCCGAUAUCAGAUUAGCUAGUUGGUGAGGUAAAGGCUCACCAAGGCGACGAUCUGUAGCGGGUCUGAGAGGAUGAUCCGCCACGCUGGAACUGAGACACGGUCCAGACUCCUACGGGAGGCAGCAGUGGGGAAUUUUGGACAAUGGGCGCAAGCCUGAUCCAGCCAUGCCGCGUGAGUGAAGAAGG